rnacentral:RNase_P_RNA from 1 species
UGAGUAAGUCGGGCGAUCGCGGCUGCAGGUCAUAAAAAUGCAGCUGAGGAAAGUCCGAGCUCCACAGGGCAGGGUGCUGGGUAAUACCCAGUGGAGGCGACUCCAAGGAAAGUGCAACAGAAAUAGACCGCCUGGCAUUGGGCUUUGUGCUCAAAUGCUGGGUAAGGGUGGAAAGGUGAGGUAAGAGCUCACCAGCAAUCCAGGCGACUGGAUUGGCUCUGUAAACCCCACCUGGAGUAAGACCGAAUAGGGGAUAUAAUGUGGUGGCCCGCCACGUCCCGGGUAAGGUCGCUUGAGCCUAUCUGGCAACAGUAGGCCUAGAUAGAUGAUCGCCCUCGACAGAACUCGGCUUACAGACUUGCUCACAUG